rnacentral:rRNA from 1 species
UAAUACGAAGGACCCGAGCGUUAUCCGGAUUUAUUGGGUUUAAAGGGUGCGUAGGCGUCCCGGUAAGUUAUGGCUGAAAUCUCCCCGCUCAACGGGGAAACUGGCCGUAAAACUGUCGGGAUUGAGUACACUUGAGGCGGGCGGAAUGUGUCAUGUAGCGGUGAAAUGCUUAGAUAUGACACAGAACACCAAUUGCGUAGGCAGCUCGCUAAAUUGUAACUGACGCUGAGGCACGAAAGCGUGGGGAUCAAACAGGAUUAGAUACCCUGGUAGUCCACGCCCUAAACGAUGAUUACUCGAUGUGUGCGAUACACUGUACGCGUCUGAGCGAAAGCAUUAAGUAAUCCACCUGGGGAGUACGACCGCAAGAUUG